rnacentral:rRNA from 1 species
UGUCGAGUCGAGCGGACCGACGGGAGCUUGCUCCCUUAGGUCAGCGGCGGACGGGUGAGUAACACGUGGGUAACCUGCCUGUAAGACUGGGAUAACUCCGGGAAACCGGGGCUAAUACCGGAUGCUUGAUUGAACCGCAUGGUUCAAUCAUAAAAGGUGGCUUUUAGCUACCACUUGCAGAUGGACCCGCGGCGCAUUAGCUAGUUGGUGAGGUAACGGCUCACCAAGGCGACGAUGCGUAGCCGACCUGAGAGGGUGAUCGGCCACACUGGGACUGAGACACGGCCCAGACUCCUACGGGAGGCAGCAGUAGGGAAUCUUCCGCAAUGGACGAAAGUCUGACGGAGCAACGCCGCGUGAGUGAUGAAGGUUUUCGGAUCGUAAAACUCUGUUGUUAGGGAAGAACAAGUACCGUUCGAAUAGGGCGGCACCUUGACGGUACCUAACCAGAAAGCCACGGCUAACUACGUGCCAGCAGCCGCGGUAAUACGUAGGUGGCAAGCGUUGUCCGGAAUUAUUGGGCGUAAAGCGCGCGCAGGCGGUUUCUUAAGUCUGAUGUGAAAGCCCCCGGCUCAACCGGGGAGGGUCAUUGGAAACUGGGGAACUUGAGUGCAGAAGAGGAGAGUGGAAUUCCACGUGUAGCGGUGAAAUGCGUAGAGAUGUGGAGGAACACCAGUGGCGAAGGCGACUCUCUGGUCUGUAACUGACGCUGAGGCGCGAAAGCGUGGGGAGCGAACAGGAUUAGAUACCCUGGUAGUCCACGCCGUAAACGAUGAGUGCUAAGUGUUAGAGGGUUUCCGCCCUUUAGUGCUGCAGCAAACGCAUUAAGCACUCCGCCUGGGGAGUACGGUCGCAAGACUGAAACUCAAAGGAAUUGACGGGGGCCCGCACAAGCGGUGGAGCAUGUGGUUUAAUUCGAAGCAACGCGAAGAACCUUACCAGGUCUUGACAUCCUCUGACAACCCUAGAGAUAGGGCUUCCCCUUUCGGGGCAGAGUGACAGGUGGUGCAUGGUUGUCGUCAGCUCGUGUCGUGGAAUGUUGGGUUAGUUCCCGCACGAGCGCACCCUUGAUCUUAAUUGC